rnacentral:rRNA from 1 species
GCUGUCUGGUCUGCCUGUGUCGGCCUUCCUUCUCGGGUUGAUACCCCGAGCUGUUGGCCACCUGUGGUACAGAAAUGGGCCUUGUGGCCGCGGCUGUAACACUUCUUACGGUCGUGCGUGCACUUGUGUUCAUGCGCCUGGGCGCUGGAUGGGCUGCCUCGGAACUUGCGCAGUCAGUAACGUGCUGCGUGAGGGAUGAGGUGUGUUUUGUAAACUGGUCCAGCUAGUCUCGGGUACGUUACGCCCCACUCCCUUCGGGUGAGUCUGUUUGCGCUUUCUAAAUUUGGAUCACUCAAGCCUGAGAGGUCACGCCGCUGGAAGUAGUUUUGGGCUCGUCGGACACUCCCCGCAAGGGUCGAGAGACUGGCUAGAGCCUGGGAUGAAAACGGUAUAGUGACCAGGAUGGCUCUGGCAAUGUCGCGCCCCCUGGGCAGGCUUUGUCAACUUUACAACUGC